CCUCUCAUGGCUCUGGGUUUGGAUUUUGAAUGAGUUCAUCAGUAAUCGGCAUGACGUUGAAAUGAGGAGAAACUGAAAAAGGAGAGGCUAAAUGUAUUGGUGUGGGCGUAGAGGUUAUAUUACACGCAUAUAAUGCUGUCUGCCUAACACAGCCGAAUCUACUGGAGCUCUGUGCAGCCAAAAUGCCUCUCUUAUAGGAAACACUGUAGCUGGAGACACAGCGGUGAAUUUUCACCAGCAGAGAGUUUCACAGUACGUUCUCUGUGUCGGACCUGCUAUAGAUCAGAGCUGUGAGAAGAUCAGCACCUGCUGAUGAAGGAAAACGGGGGACAGUCUCAGCAGAGGAGAGGAAGAACGAGAGAGGAGAGAAAGAAGAUGAAUGAACAGACUUUAACAGAGUCUAAUGAAGGUGUGAGAGAAGAGCUGAGAGUCCACAGAGAGAGCCGAGCAGACAGAGAAAAAGAAACUGAUGAGUGUGAUGUGAGGAGAGAGAGCAGAGAAAUAAGGAGCCGCAGUCUGGAUCGACUCACUCGUUUCUGAGGUUUCCACCAAAGUUCAAGCAGCUCAGAUGAAGAAAGCUGGAAGAUUAAUGGAUAAUCUGACUGAGUUUGAGAAAACUUGAUGGUUUCUAUUUAAACUGGACUCAUAUUUGAUUUAGUAGAAGGUGUUUGUGUUGAACUGUUUAUUUUAAUAUGCAGCACCUGUUACUCACAGUGAUGAUUUAUUUCUGUUAAAAAUACACUGUAGGUACUCUAUUCUGUAAAUACUGUUCAGUAUGUCAGCAGAAUUCAGAAAGUGUAUUCACUGUUUCCACAAAAUGUUAUUUUCUUUCCUUUUUAAAU